AGAAUAAUAACGAAUGUUUUCCACGAAACAUGAAACCAGUUGGUUGACUGACACCGACGUAGUGCCAAAUGCGACUCUAACGAGGGGUGACCGUGACAUUUUGCCACUUUUUAGCCAAAUUUUGGAUUUAAAAGUGCAAAUUUGUCCUGUCAUGUAUCGUGAAACCCCCCAGCCUGCGAUAGGCAGUAAAACAGCGUUGGGGAAUAGCAAGUGGCCAUGCUGGAAAGCCAAAUGCUACCAGGGCAAUUUGAUACGAACAGCCGGUUGACAAGUAUGUAAACAUUGCAAUUUUGUUGUUUAAUGUUAGUAAUGAAACAUUUUUUUGUCACAUUGA